rnacentral:rRNA from 1 species
GGAAGUGGGAUGACGUCAAGUCCUCAUGGCCUUUAUGCUUAGGGCUACACACGUGCUACAAUGGGUGGUACAAAGAGAAGCCAACUCGCGAGAGCGCGCCAAUCUCAAAAAGCCAUCCUCAGUUCGGAUUGGAGUCUGCAACUCGACUCCAUGAAGUUGGAAUCGCUAGUAAUCGCGGAUCAGCAUGCCGCGGUGAAUACGGUUCCCGGGCCUU